ACUUUUUCUUUCAUAAAAGUUCCAGUGUGAACAGGUAAUUGGCAGCCACCUAUUAAUUGUCUAGUCAAAGCCAAAGGGCCAGCUGGCAUUAUUUCACAUCCCUCUCUCCCAGGGUUCCUAGAGGAAUUCUGGGUAAGAUACAAACAGUGUUUUACAGCAGCAAUUAGUUUAUUCCUGGGGCAAAGUACAAAUAGAAGAGGGUAUGUAUAUGCAGCAAGACCUUGUUUCCUAUUCCACUGUGACUGAGGAAAUGACAACCAGUUGGCAGUGGGCCAUGCAAAUAAAAAAUACCAGCUGGAAAACUGUAUUAUUUUUGUCCCAGAUGACAAAAGGUUUUGAGCAUUUCAUGCCAGUAUUUUUUUGAGAUUGUGUUAGUGGCAGCCCAAAAAGUUUGAACCCAUUACCCCGUGUCCUGUCACUAAACUUCCUGAUGAAGAGUCCCUCUCCAGUUUCUCUUCAGGUCCCCUUGAGAUACUGCAAGCUGGCUAUGAGUUUUCUACACGAUAUCUGCAAUAUAAGAAUGCAAUACAUUCAAGUGUUCCCUUUAAAUGAUACGCCUUGGGAUGCAUGGAGCUGAAAGUAAAGUACCUGAUGAAAUUCGUGGUAUUUCAACAUUUACUAUGUGCAAACUGAUUUUCCAGUGAAAAGCAGCAUUAUUUCACAUUAGAAAUGUUAUAAAAUUAUUACAGUACCCUAUCUCUUUAUAAAAGUUCUUAGGCUAAUAGGGGUUCAGUAAAACCAUUUACAAAUACUUUCUCUAUUACCUGUUUUAAAGGUAUGGAUUUGUCUUAGUCCUUAAAUUGUA